UACGUAGGGGGCAAGCGUUGUCCGGAUUUACUGGGCGUAAAGAGCGCGCAGGCGGUCGUUUAAGUCGAAUGUGAAAGCCCCCGGCUCAACUGGGGAGGGUCAUUCGAUACUGAUCGACUUGAAGGCAGGAGAGGGAAGUGGAAUUCCGGGUGUAGUGGUGAAAUGCGUAGAUAUCCGGAGGAACACCAGUGGCGAAGGCGACUUCCUGGCCUGUUCUUGACGCUGAGGCGCGAAAGCUGGGGGAGCAAACGGG
rnacentral:rRNA from 1 species